rnacentral:rRNA from 1 species
GACGAACGCUGGCGGCGUGCCUAACACAUGCAAGUCGAGCGGAGGCAGAGGAUAGCCCAGCGAUGGGAAGGAGACUGCUUUAGCGGCGGACGGGUGAGUAACACGUGGGCAACCUGCCUAUAAGACUGGGAUAACUUCGGGAAACCGGAGCUAAUACCGGAUAAUUCUUUUCUACACAUGUAGAAAAGCUAAAAGACGGUUUACGCUGUCACUUAUAGAUGGGCCCGCGGCGCAUUAGCUAGUUGGUGAGGUAACGGCUCACCAAGGCCACGAUGCGUAGCCGACCUGAGAGGGUGAUCGGCCACACUGGGACUGAGACACGGCCCAGACUCCUACGGGUGGCUG